rnacentral:rRNA from 1 species
UACAUGUGGGGCAAGCGUUGUUCGGAAUUACUGGGCGUAAAGGGUGCGUAGGUGGUUUGAUAAGUUAGCUGUGAAAUUCCUGGGCUUAACCUGGGGUGGUCAGCUAAGACUGUUAGACUUUGAGUAUAGGAGAGGGUAGUGGAAUUUCCGGUGUAGCGGUGAAAUGCGUAGAGAUCGGAAGGAACACCAGUGGCGAAGGCGGCUACCUGGCCUAAUACUGACACUGAGGCACGAAAGCGUGGGGAGCAAACAGG